CCUACGGGUGGCAGCAGUAGGGAAUCUUCCACAAUGGGCGAAAGCCUGAUGGAGCAACGCCGCGUGGGUGAAGAAGGUCUUCGGAUCGUAAAACCCUGUUGUUAGAGAAGAAAGUGCGUGAGAGUAACUGUUCACGUUUCGACGGUAUCUAACCAGAAAGCCACGGCUAACUACGUGUCAGCAGCCGCGGUAAUACGUAGGUGGCACGCGUUAUCCGGAUUUAUUGGGCGUAAAGGGAACGCAGGCGGUCUUUUAAGUCUGAUGUGAAAGCCUUCGGCUUAACCGGAGUAGUGCAUUGGAAACGGGGAGACGUGAGUGCAGAAGAGGAGAGUGGAACUCCAUGUGUAGCGGUGAAAUGCGUAGAUAUAUGGAAGAACACCAGUGGCGAAAGCGGCUCUCUGGUCUGUAACUGACGCUGAGGUUCGAAAGCGUGGGUAGCAAACAGGAUUAGAUACCCUGGUAGUC
rnacentral:rRNA from 1 species